rnacentral:rRNA from 1 species
GGUUAAGCGACUAAGCGUACACGGUGGAUGCCCUGGCAGUCAGAGGCGAUGAAGGACGUGCUAAUCUGCGAAAAGCGUCGGUAAGGUGAUAUGAACCGUUAUAACCGGCGAUGUCCGAAUGGGGAAACCCAGUGCAAUUCGUUGCACUAUCGUUAACUGAAUACAUAGGUUAACGAGGCGAACCGGGGGAACUGAAACAUCUAAGUACCCCGAGGAAAAGAAAUCAACCGAGAUUCCCCCAGUAGCGGCGAGCGAACGGGGAGCAGCCCAGAGUCUGAAUCAGCUUGUGUGUUAGUGGAACGGUCUGGAAAGUCCGACGGUACAGGGUGAUAGUCCCGUACACCAAAAUGCACAGGCUGUGAACUCGAAGAGUAGGGCGGGACACGUGGUAUCCUGUCUGAAUAUGGGGGGACCAUCCUCCAAGGCUAAAUACUCCUGACUGACCGAUAGUGAACCAGUACCGUGAGGGAAAGGCGAAAAGAACCCCGGCGAGGGGAGUGAAAAAGAACCUGAAACCGUGUACGUACAAGCAGUGGGAGCACCUUCGGGUGUGACUGCGUACCUUUUGUAUAAUGGGUCAGCGACUUAUAUUCUGUAGCAAGGUUAACCGUAUAGGGGAGCCGCAGGGAAACCGAGUCUUAACUGGGCGUUAAGUUGCAGGGUAUAGACCCGAAACCCGGUGAUCUAGCCAUGGGCAGGUUGAAGGUUGGGUAACACUAACUGGAGGACCGAACCGACUAAUGUUGAAAAAUUAGCGGAUGACUUGUGGCUGGGGGUGAAAGGCCAAUCAAACCGGGAGAUAGCUGGUUCUCCCCGAAAGCUAUUUAGGUAGCGCCUCGUGAACUCAUCUUCGGGGGUAGAGCACUGUUUCGGCUAGGGGGUCAUCCCGACUUACCAACCCGAUGCAAACUACGAAUACCGAAGAAUGUUAUCACGGGAGACACACGGCGGGUGCUAACGUCCGUCGUGAAGAGGGAAACAACCCAGACCGCCAGCUAAGGUCCCAAAGUCAUGGUUAAGUGGGAAACGAUGUGGGAAGGCACAGACAGCCAGGAUGUUGGCUUAGAAGCAGCCAUCAUUUAAAGAAAGCGUAAUAGCUCACUGGUCGAGUCGGCCUGCGCGGAAGAUGUAACGGGGCUAAACCAUGCACCGAAGCUGCGGCAGCGACACUAUGUGUUGUUGGGUAGGGGAGCGUUCUGUAAGCCUGCGAAGGUGUGCUGUGAGGCAUGCUGGAGGUAUCAGAAGUGCGAAUGCUGACAUAAGUAACGAUAAAGCGGGUGAAAAGCCCGCUCGCCGGAAGACCAAGGGUUCCUGUCCAACGUUAAUCGGGGCAGGGUGAGUCGACCCCUAAGGCGAGGCCGAAAGGCGUAGUCGAUGGGAAACAGGUUAAUAUUCCUGUACUUGGUGUUACUGCGAAGGGGGACGGAGAAGGCUAUGUUAGCCGGGCGACGGUUGUCCCGGUUUAAGCAUGUAGGCUGGUUGUCCAGGCAAAUCCGGAUAAUCAAGGCUGAGGUGUGAUGACGAGGCACUACGGUGCUGAAGUAACAAAUGCCCUGCUUCCAGGAAAAGCCUCUAAGCAUCAGGUAACAUCAAAUCGUACCCCAAACCGACACAGGUGGUCAGGUAGAGAAUACCAAGGCGCUUGAGAGAACUCGGGUGAAGGAACUAGGCAAAAUGGUGCCGUAACUUCGGGAGAAGGCACGCUGGUGUGUAGGUGAAGCCCCUGCGGGUGGAGCUGAGACCAGUCGAAGAUACCAGCUGGCUGCAACUGUUUAUUAAAAACACAGCACUGUGCAAACACGAAAGUGGACGUAUACGGUGUGACGCCUGCCCGGUGCCGGAAGGUUAAUUGAUGGGGUUAUCCGUAAGGAGAAGCUCUUGAUCGAAGCCCCGGUAAACGGCGGCCGUAACUAUAACGGUCCUAAGGUAGCGAAAUUCCUUGUCGGGUAAGUUCCGACCUGCACGAAUGGCGUAAUGAUGGCCAGGCUGUCUCCACCCGAGACUCAGUGAAAUUGAACUCGCUGUGAAGAUGCAGUGUACCCGCGGCAAGACGGAAAGACCCCGUGAACCUUUACUAUAGCUUGACACUGAACAUUGAGCCUUGAUGUGUAGGAUAGGUGGGAGGCUUUGAAGCGUGGACGCCAGUCUGCGUGGAGCCAACCUUGAAAUACCACCCUUUAAUGUUUGAUGUUCUAACGUUGGCCCCUUACCGGGGUUGCGGACAGUGUCUGGUGGGUAGUUUGACUGGGGCGGUCUCCUCCCAAAGCGUAACGGAGGAGCACGAAGGUUAGCUAAUCCUGGUCGGACAUCAGGAGGUUAGUGCAAUGGCAUAAGCUAGCUUGACUGCGAGCGUGACGGCGCGAGCAGGUGCGAAAGCAGGUCAUAGUGAUCCGGUGGUUCUGAAUGGAAGGGCCAUCGCUCAACGGAUAAAAGGUACUCCGGGGAUAACAGGCUGAUACCGCCCAAGAGUUCAUAUCGACGGCGGUGUUUGGCACCUCGAUGUCGGCUCAUCACAUCCUGGGGCUGAAGUAGGUCCCAAGGGUAUGGCUGUUCGCCAUUUAAAGUGGUACGCGAGCUGGGUUUAGAACGUCGUGAGACAGUUCGGUCCCUAUCUGCCGUGGGCGCUGGAGAAUUGAGGGGGCUGCUCCUAGUACGAGAGGACCGGAGUGGACGCAUCACUGGUGUUCGGGUUGUCAUGCCAAUGGCACUGCCCGGUAGCUAAAUGCGGAAGAGAUAAGUGCUGAAAGCAUCUAAGCACGAAACUUGCCCCGAGAUGAGUUCUCCCUGAGACUUUAAGUCUCCUGAAGGAACGUUAAAGACGAUGACGUUGAUAGGCCGGGUGUGUAAGCGCAGCGAUGCGUUGAGCUAACCGGUACUAAUGAACCGUGAGGCUUAACCUU